GCCAGUAUGGUGUAGUGGUAUGAGCAUUGGACUAUGACUCUGGAGACCAGGGUUCGAAUCCCCACUGAAGCA
rnacentral:tRNA from 1 species